rnacentral:ncRNA from 1 species
AACGCUGCUAUUUUCCGCUUCUUUUUUUACUUUAGCACCUGAUCUCAGGGGGCUUGCGCGUAAGAAAGAAACGGAAAAUAAACGCCAAAAGCCUCCUUCGUGGGGGCUUUUUUUUU